rnacentral:rRNA from 1 species
AUUGAACGCUGGCGGCAGGCCUAACACAUGCAAGUCGAACGGUAACAGGAAGCAGCUUGCUGGUUUGCUGACGAGUGGCGGGCGGGUGAGUCAUGUCUGAGCAACUGCUCGAUGGAGGGGAUAACUACUGGAAACGGUAGCUAAUACCGCAUAACGUCGCGAGACCAAAGAGGGGGAGCUUAGGGCCUCUUGCCAUCGGAUGUGCCCAGAUGGGAUUAGCUAGUCGGUGGGGUAACGGCUCACCUAGGCGACGAUCCGUAGCUGGUCUGAGAGGAUGACCAGCCACACUGGAACUGAGACACCGUCCAGACUCCUACGGGAGGCAGCAGUGGGGAACAUUGCACAAUGGGCGCAAGCCUUAUGCAGCCAGGCCGCGUGUAUGAAGAAGGCCUUCGGGUUGUAAAGUACUUUCAGCGGGUAGGAACGGAGUAAAGUUAAUACCUUUGCUCAUUGACGUUACCCGCAGAAGAAGCACCGGCUAACUCCGUG